UAAACGCUUACUCUACUCUCAGUUACUCCGUAUCGAUUUCCUCGUACGGGAUUAAAUUGAGUAUCGAAAAGAAUAUGGAGCAAAGCUGAGCGUGCCGUCAUAUUAUAUUAUUGUGAGUCACCGUGUAUAUUAUAUGUAUAAUCACUCAGCAGCAGUAGUCCGUAACACUUUUAAUUUCCCAGCUUGUAUAUGUAAUAAUAGGUUCAAGGGUUUGACGACGCCGAAAAAAGAGCAAACGGACGUGGUUUCCUGGCGGGGAUCGUCUCAAGGGGGCGGCACCGCGCCGCGGCGUGGGUAUUUUUUUUUAACACGCGCGUCAAUUUCGUUUCGCGCAAAUUUUUUCGCCGCUGUACGUACGCGUCGGGCGCGCGUAGUACAUGUACGUACGCGGCAGAGAGACGAGGCAAGUUCGACACGGCAACGGGAGAGAAUGCAUAAGCACGAGGCACGAGUCCAGGCAAGUCGGUUGUGCUCUACGCUUAAACGCGAAAGAAGAGGGCUGCCAAUAGUUGGUUCGCCGGUACAUUCCCGCUCUACAAAGUUAAUUACGUGGCUGACGCUCGUUAGCGAAAAAAUCCAAAGGCGAUAAAUCAUAGUGAUAACUGAAAUACAUUUCUGCUCUGCUAAGCUGGUGGCCGUGGUCGCUGCCCAACGAGAACCGAGAAGAAAGAGGAGAAAGGAUGAAACGGGAGAAAAAAAGAAUAGGAAGAAGAAGAAGAAGAAGAAGAGGAGAAGGAGGAAGGUAAAAACGUACGAAGAGCAAAGAAGCAACACCGCCAAUUACUUUCCAACCGACUACUCGAUAAUAUCGUCCCGCGAGCACCGAUACACAACGACCAUUAAUAUUCUAAACGCAAGCCCCGUGUACGCAGCUCGUGUUCUCGAUCCACGCUCGGAUCUGUCUUGGAACGUAAUGCAGAUCCGGCCGGCACGAAUCGUUCGUGUACCACCGGAAAGCCCCCGAGUUAUAACAGUUUACUACGCGGACGAACCACUGGAUUCGAGAUAGUUAGACGCGCGAGCCUAACAAUUUGCGCGCGAUAUCAUAGAUGCCACGCCGGACCACCGUUACAUCCCGUGCUUUACCUACGAUCGCGCUUUUUUAUGUCAUCCUUGGCCGGUCUUUAGAGAAUUGAACGAUUCCCGUUGAACAACCUUCGUCGUCGUGAAUUCUCCAUUUGAUAAGGUAACGAAGGGAAAUACAUGCAAUUAUCGUAGCCUUGGGAAAGCGACGAUGCAACUUUGCAUCGGAGAAGCGUACGUUUUCGGAAGCGAGACAACGGGAAAAUUGGUACAAACGGUUCUGAUAUUUGAAAACAUACAGAUUUUCGUAGUAAAGUUUAACUUUACCGGCAAUUUUCCAACUUAGAGACUUUGUCACCCGUACAAAUAUAAUAAAAUUACAAAAUUAUUUGGAGCGUGGCUCGUUAAAUCUGCAUCGACCACGACAAAACAUCCGAUGCAACUGGCAAGCAAAGCAUGCCAAAUUAAUCAUGGAAGCCCAGGAAUCUGGCGUAACAAAUUCAAAUACAGAAACACGUAUAUCAAUUACACGAUCGAGACAUAGGCUAACGAAGUCCGUGACGAGGAUACGAAGGUACGAAAAAUAUCGCCAGAGAGACGAAGGGUUAAAGCGGAAAGAGAGGAGGAAGAGAAAGAGAGAGAGAGAGAGAGAGAGAGGUGCAGCGAAAGACGAAUAAAGUGACAGAGAGGGCUGAAAGAGAGGGCAGAGGAGAGUGACGUUUCGUGAGAUAAAGGUGAAGGGAGAGAGGGGUGGCAGAGAAGAUAUUCUUGGCAGCGACUGCGAUGCAACAACUGUCCCCAUCCGUCAUCUACGGAGGCAGCGAGAGAGGCCCACGACCACUCGAUGCGUCCCUCGCCGUGCUCUUCAAAUCACGAGAGGGGAAAACUUCUCGUAAUCAUCGAGAUCUCGACUAACGACACCGACAGUCGACUCAUUACGUCGUUAUCGUGGAAAGAAUCUCCGUGGAUCCGCGAGGAAACGGCCCAAACUGUUCGUUUUUCAAAACUCUUCGAAAUAUUCCGACUCAUUUCACUUUAUGAUAUUAGAUUUCCUUUAUUACACGAUGUAAAAGACAUAGUUCGUUGCAAGAAUAAAAGCCAGAGACGCGUU